AUACGUAGGGGGCGAGCGUUGUCCGGAAUGAUUGGGCGUAAAGAGUACGUAGGUGGUUUCCUAAGCGAGGGGUUUAAGGCACUGGCUUAACCAAUGUUCGCCCCCCGAACUGGGGAACUUGAGUGCUGGAGAGGAAAGCGGAAUUCCUAGUGUAGCGGUGAAAUGCGUAGAUAUUAGGAGGAACACCAGUGGCGAAGGCGGCUUUCUGGACAGUAACUGACACUGAGGUACGAAAGUGUGGGGAGCAAACAGGAUUAGAUACCCUGGUAGUCCACACCGUAAACGAUGAGCACUAGGUGUCGGGCUCGCAAGAGUUCGGUGCCGCAGUUAACGCAUUAAGUGCUCCGCCUGGGGAGUACGUACGCAAGUAUGAAACUCAAAUGAAUUGACGGGG
rnacentral:rRNA from 1 species